rnacentral:rRNA from 1 species
GUAGGUGGCGAGCGUUAUCCGGAUUUACUGGGCGUAAAGCGCGCGUAGGCGGUUCUGUAAGUCGGACGUGAAAGCUCCUGGCUCAACUGGGAGAGGCCGUUCGAUACUGCAGGACUUGAGGUCGGGAGAGGGACGUGGAAUUCCCGGUGUAGUGGUGGAAUGCGUAGAUAUCGGGAGGAACACCAGUGGCGAAGGCGGCGUCCUGGCCCGCACCUGACGCUAAGACGCGAAAGCGUGGGUAGCGAGCGGGAUUAGAUACCCCGGUAGUCCUAGCUGUAAACGAUGGGCACUAGAUGUUUCCCACCCUUUUGGGGGAGUGUCGAAGUUGACGCGUUAAGUGCCCCGCCUGGGGAGUACGGUCGCAAGGCUG